CCUACGGGAGGCAGCAGUGAGGAAUAUUGGUCAAUGGGCGCAAGCCUGAACCAGCCAAGUCGCGUGAGGGAUGACGGUCCUAUGGAUUGUAAACCUCUUUUGUCGGGGAGCAAGGCCCGCCACGUGUGGCGGGAAGGAGAGUACCCGAAGAAAAAGCAUCGGCUAACUCCGUGCCAGCAGCCGCGGUAAUACGGAGUAUGCGAGCGUUAUCCGGAUUUAUUGGGUGUAAAGGGGGCACAGACGGCAAUGCAAGCCAGGAGUGAAAGCCCGGGGCCACACCCCGGGACUGCUCUUGGAACUGCAUGGCUGGAGUACAGGAGGGGCAGGCGGAAUUCCUAGUGUAGCGGUGAAAUGCGUAGAUAUUAGGAGGAACACCGGUGGCGAAGGCGGCCUGCUGGACUGUGACUGACGUUGAGGCCCGAAGGCGUGGGGAGCAAACAGGAUUAGAUACCCCAGUAGUC
rnacentral:rRNA from 1 species